CUCACAGACAUGCCAUCUUUCUCUUCCAAAGAUCUCUUAAGGCUCCAUUCUCUCCAACCCACCUGCUGUCCUUUCCCUGGGAGGCCUGAGAGUUUAAGUUGCCACACACUCUCAUGUGCUUUAGAGGCUCAGUGAGAGCUCUGACCCAGUCUCCUCCUCCCCUGCUAGAACACACCCCUGUUCUUAUAGGCUAGUAUCAUCAUGUCUCGCUAGCCCUGCAAAGAUGCUCACCCCUCAGCCCAGCACCAGAACCAUCAGCUCAGACUCUGCCAAGAGAUCCCUUGUGCAUCUCGGAUCCUGCCUCGACCUCCAGGCCAUCGACUGCAUAAAUUAUUGAUGUGUAGAAGAUGGCUGGUGGUGUGGUGUGGUCUGCUGUGCUCACAGAGAAAAGGCAUGCUACAAACAGAAGCGGUGAGGAAAUGAUGUUUGGGAAGAUGCUUCCAGAAUAUGGAUCUCUCAUCUGUGCACCCUUUGACUGGUGGAUCUCAGUCAGAGGCAAUUCUGGAUGUCGCGACUGGAGAGGGGACAAUGAACAUCUGUUGAAUAAAGACUAGGCCUACAAUGAGAAUAGCAGUCACCACCCAACAGAGUGACACAGCCCAGUAAGACCAUGGGACGGAGGCUGAGGAAGGCUGGUCUUAGACAUCAAAAUCAGAACCGGUGAGAGACACCAGGAAGCCCACCAGGUCUCGGUUGUGCGUGGACCUUGCCAUCCUCUCUUGCAAGAACUUGCUUUCUUUUAGCUGAGUCCAGCCACCCUUUCGGGUGAAGCUCCUCUCACUUGCUUCCCAAGCUCCAGGGUCUCGGCUGUAAAGUGUGACUCCGUUCCCUCAGCUCCUCUCACUUGCUUCCUGCUGCUUCUGACUGCUCCAGCCUGAAAUGAGCAGCACCAGGACACCCGCGCGUCUGAAACCGUGCAGUGUCCUUGCACGCAGAGUUUUCAUUUCCUUUCAGACACAGGAAAUGGGCCCUCUCAUGCUCUCCGUUUCCACGGCCACAGGUAGAGCCCUUUUCUCCUUCCAGGGCAGCUAUGGGUUUUGACGCAACAUCUGAUUCUUUGAUUUCUGGAACUAGCUCGAGACUUGCCUUUGGAGAGUUAUCUCAAGCCCUCGCUCCCAGCUGGUCUGAGUUAAGUGGGGAAGUUCUUAGCUGGUGGAGCUGUUGUAAUGGCCAAGCGGCCUUUACAAGGCAGGGCUUGAUGGGUGGAAGUAGGUCACCUUUUAGAUCUAGCUGCAGAGUCCUGGUCUAUGGCCAUGUGAAGAACUGAUGCCAUACAGUGCCACCGCCAUGCCAUCCCGCCACAAUGAAAUCUCAAAAACCAUGAACCAAAAUGUCCCUUUCAUCUUGUUUUGAUCAGUUAUUUCCUGUGUGAGGAAAUGUAGCUGUGAUGGGUGAUAUCAACUUGAUAAACUCUAACUCAUCUAGGAGACAAGUCCUGGAUAUGACCAUGAGGAAUUGAUUAUCUGGACUAGGUUAACUGAGCUGAGUGCACCCACACUGAAAGCAGGACACACUGUUGACUGGGCUGCUGAACACUACCGUUCCUCUUUCCCUGCCUCCUGACUGUGGAUUCAAUGUGACCGACUGCCUCAAGACCCUACAGCCUUGACUCCUCUGUCCUGAUCAGUUAUACCCUCUAACUGUGAC
rnacentral:lncRNA from 1 species